AUUGUAGUCAUAUGCUUGUCUCAAAGAUUAAGCCAUGCAUGUCUAAGCACAAGCCAAUAAUGGCAAAGCCGCGAAUGGCUCAUUACAACAGCCACUGUUCACUUGAUCUGUACCAAUCCUACUUGGAUAACUGCGGUAAUUCUGGAGCUAAUACACGCACCCAUAGUCUGACCUCACGGGACGACUGCAUUUAUUAGAACAAAACCAAUCGGGCCUCGGCUCGUACGUUUGUGACUCUGAAUAACUCUGCUGAGCGCACGGUCCAGCACCGGCGCCGCAUCUUUCAAGUGUCUGCCUUAUCAACUUUCGAUGGUAGUUUAUGUGACUACCAUGGUUGCAACGGGUAACGGGGAAUAAU
rnacentral:rRNA from 1 species